ACAACUCUCAACAACGGAUAUCUUGGCUCCCGUAUCGAUGAAGAACGCAGCGAAAUGCGAUACGUAGUGUGAAUUGCAGAAUUCCGUGAACCAUCGAAUCUUUGAACGCAAAUUGCGCCCGAGGCUUCGGCUAAGGGCAUGUCUGCCUCAGCGUCGGUUU
rnacentral:rRNA from 1 species